rnacentral:rRNA from 2 species
UACGAAGGGGGCUAGCGUUGUUCGGAAUUACUGGGCGUAAAGCGUAUGUAGGCGGAUCGUUAAGUCGGGGGUGAAAUCCCGAGGCUCAACCUCGGAACUGCCUUCGAUACUGGCGAUCUUGAGUCCGGGAGAGGUGAGUGGAACUGCGAGUGUAGAGGUGAAAUUCGUAGAUAUUCGCAAGAACACCAGUGGCGAAGGCGGCUCACUGGCCCGGUACUGACGCUGAAAUACGAAAGCGUGGGGAGCAAACAGG